UACGUAGGGUCCGAGCGUUGUCCGGAAUUAUUGGGCGUAAAGGGCUCGUAGGCGGUUCGUCACGUCGGGAGUGAAAACUCGGAGCUUAACUCCGAGCCUGCUUCCGAUACGGGCAGACUAGAGGUAGGCAGGGGAGAGCGGAACUCCUGGUGUAGCGGUGGAAUGCGCAGAUAUCAGGAGGAACACCGGUGGCGAAGGCGGAUCUCUGGGCCUUGCCUGACGCUGAGGCGCGAAAGCUAGGGGAGCGAACAGG
rnacentral:rRNA from 1 species